rnacentral:misc_RNA from 1 species
GUAUUUGUUUUUAAAGGCACAAAGGCCAAUUACAACAUGCGAAUACAUUCGUGUGGGGUAUAUGUAGAAACAUAGACCUGAAUACAAGAAGAGCUGGCUGUUGCACAGCAAUUCUCAAACCGAGUUUCCUCGAGAUAUUUCAGAUCUAUGCAAGGUGCACAGGUGGUUAAAAAUGGAGUAGGCGUGCACAUGCUCCUAAGAGCCAGCAACAACCUAACCAAGUUUAUUCAAUAAUGAUCCUUCCGCAGGUUCACCUACGGAAA